UACGGGGGGGGCAAGCGUUGUUCGGAAUUACUGGGCGUAAAGGGCGCGUAGGCGGCCUUCUAAGUCGGACGUGAAAUCCCUCGGCUCAACCGAGGAACUGCGUCUGAUACUGGAAGGCUUGAAUCCGGGAGAGGGAUGUGGAAUUCCAGGUGUAGCGGUGAAAUGCGUAGAUAUCUGGAGGAACACCGGUGGCGAAGGCGGCGUUCUGGACUGUUACUGACACUGAGGAACGAAAGCCAGGGGAGCAAACGGG
rnacentral:rRNA from 1 species